rnacentral:lncRNA from 1 species
CUGGAGUCUGAUGAAAAUAUGACAUCCAAGUCAUCAUCUUCAACAUAAUAUUUAGCUUUUUUGGCCCAUCCAAUUUUCCGAAAGCGACGUUCACUAGUUUUAACCUGGCAGAUAUUUGCUUCAGAACACUCUGGGAAACUCGAGUUUGUGAUACCAGAAAGUUGUAUUUCAUAUACAUAUUGAUCUCCGUUUGUUCGUAUGUCACCAGAAGCCAUGUACAACUUGUUAUAAACAUCCCCUAAUGAGAAGUUUUUCCCAGUUGCAGGAUUAAUAACUGUUCCAUUCACUACCUCUACCUCCUGUGGCUUCACAGCACAAGCUGCACGUGUGUCCCAGAUGAUAAAGUAAGCACAGUUUUCCUCAUCAAACCUCUGCAGCAUGGGCAUGCCAACUGUUUUUGCGCACCUCAAUUCUAUAAUUGUCAUUAUUUUC